rnacentral:rRNA from 1 species
AACGAACGCUGGCGGCGUGGAUAAGACAUGCAAGUCGAACGGGACAGCUUGGUAGCAAUAUUAAGCUGUUCAGUGGCGAACGGGUGCGUAACACGUGGAUUACAUUCCGGGAAGUGAGGAAUAGCCCAGGGAAACUUGGAUUAAUGCCUCAUGUGGUCGCAAGACUAAAGGCGCAAGCCGCUUCCUGAUUGGUCCGCGGCCUAUCAGCUUGUUGGUGAGGUAAUGGCUCACCAAGGCUACGACGGGUAGCUGGUCUAAGAGGACGACCAGCCACACUGGAACUGAGACACGGUCCAGACACCUACGGGUGGCAGCAGUCGAGAAUCUUUCACAAUGGGGGAAACCCUGAUGGAGCGACGCCGCGUGGAGGAUAAGGUCCUCGGAUUGUAACUCCUGUCAUGCGAGAACAAAGCCCGCAAGGGCCUGAUAGUAUCGCAAGAGGAAGAGACGGCUAACUCUGUGCCAGCCGCCGCGGUAACAC